rnacentral:rRNA from 1 species
CCUGGGAACUGCGUUNUGAACUGGGUGACUAGAGUGUNUCAGAGGGAGGUAGAAUUCCACGUGUAGCAGUGAAAUGCGUAGAGAUGUGGAGGAAUACCGAUGGCGAAGGCAGCNUCCUGGGAUAACACUGACGUUCAUGCCCGAAAGCGUGGGUAGCAAACAGGAUUAGAUACCCUGGUAGUNCACGCCCUAAACGAUGUCGAUUAGCUGUUGGGCAGCAUGACUGCUUAGUAGCGAAGCUAACGCGUGAAAUCGACCGCCUGGGGAGUACGGUCGCAAGAUUAAAACUCAAAGGAAUUGACGGGGACCCGCACAAGCGGUGGAUGAUGUGGAUUAAUUCGAUGCAACGCGAAGAACCUUACCUGGUCUUGACAUGUACGGAAUCCUCCAGAGACGGAGGAGUGCCUUCGGGAGCCGUAACACAGGUGCUGCAUGGCUGUCGUCAGCUCGUGUCGUGAGAUGUUGGGUUAAGUCCCGCAACGAGCGCAACCCUUGUCAUUAGUUGCCAUCAUUAAGUUGGGCACUCUAAUGAGACUGCCGGUGGCAAGCCGGAGGAAGGUGGGGAUGACGUCAAGUCCUCAUGGCCCUUAUGACCAGGGCUUCACACGUCAUACAAUGGUCGGUACAGAGGGUAGCCAAGCCGCGAGGCGGAGCCAAUCUCACAAAACCGAUCGUAGUCCGGAUUGCACUCUGCAACUCGAGUGCAUGAAGUCGGAAUCGCUAGUAAUCGCAGGUCAGCAUACUGCGGUGAAUACGUUCCCGGGUCUUGUACACA